rnacentral:rRNA from 1 species
AUUGAACGCUGGCGGCAUGCUUUACACAUGCAAGUCGAACGGCAGCGCGGGGCAACCUGGCGGCGAGUGGCGAACGGGUGAGUAAUAUAUCGGAACGUACCCAGAAGUGGGGGAUAACGUAGCGAAAGUUACGCUAAUACCGCAUACGAUCUACGGAUGAAAGUAGGGGACCGCAAGGCCUUAUGCUUUUGGAGCGGCCGAUAUCUGAUUAGCUAGUUGGUGAGGUAAAGGCUCACCAAGGCGACGAUCAGUAGCUGGUCUGAGAGGACGACCAGCCACACUGGAACUGGGACACGGUCCAGACUCCUACGGGAGGCAGCAGUGGGGAAUUUUGGACAAUGGGCGCAAGCCUGAUCCAGCAAUGCCGCGUGAGUGAAGAAGGCCUUCGGGUUGUAAAGCUCUUUUGUCAGGGAAGAAACGGUAGAGGCUAAUAUCCUUUGCUAAUGACGGUACCUGAAGAAUAAGCACCGGCUAACUACGUG